rnacentral:lncRNA from 1 species
ACUAAUGAUCUUGGUUCAGGUCCUAUCGUCCCCCAAUUUUCAGCCAGGUUUCCUCCCAUCUUGGUUAAAAUGAUAUUGAUGAUGAUGAUGAUGGACUGUUACGACUUCACCGAUCAAUUUGUACGGAGGCAGAUCUUUGUUUGGUCUUCAGGCCAGCCUAACCUGCCCAAAUUGUAGUCCACUAAUAUCUCAUUUAUUAUCAUUUUAUGAAUAGUUGGCUUGGCCUGGUAAUGGCAAUAGAUUUUACACUGGUUAAAACCUAUCAUUGGUUUCAUGUCUUCUAUUUACUCCUCGGUAAAUUUCAGAAUGGAUCUAUAUGAUUAGGAAAUGCAGGAGAGACUUAGCUGAAGCAUCCCUCAGUAGGCC